GGCGACGUAGCCAAGUGGUUAAGGCGGAGGUCUGCAAAACCUCUAUGCGGCGGUUCGAGUCCGCCCGUCGCCUCCA
rnacentral:tRNA from 1 species